rnacentral:snRNA from 1 species
GUUGCUUCUUGGCCUUUUGGCUAAGAUCAAGUGUAAAAUCUAUUGUCAAUUCAACCCUAAGAAUCUGCUUUGUUGCAUAGUUAGUUAAAACAUUUUACUAAACAUUUCAGUGCAAAUCGUCACUAGCAAAGUCUAAUGGUUUGUGUUAACUCUA